rnacentral:misc_RNA from 1 species
CGUAGCGUUUGUGCAUCGCACUGCAGGCAUGCGUCAACUGCACAAUUGCAGCAGCGACGAUGCAGAUGGUGGUGCUUUUAUGACUUCGAAUGAUAUAUUUUCAACGCACGAUAAUAAUUUGUCAUCGUUUUUACACCUCCGUGCACCGAAGAGGAACAAAUACUGCACUGAAUCCAGCAUUAAUUUCCCGGCAGCCAUAGGAAGUCCUUGCGAGUUUACGAUACCGACGCGGUUACGGCUAAAUUUAUAUAAUCGCAAAGCGAAACAGAUUCGGCGACAAUUCAAUGUUCCGUGCAAAUAACGGUAAGCUGGUUUAGGAGGCGAAAAAAGGACAAAAGUUCGAGAUAGAAGGACAACUAGGCAGACAAACAAUCAGCUUCAUAUUGAACCGCGUACGUGGCGAAAAAUAAGAUGGGUGUGCCAUGAGAGUACGGUUGUAAAAAUCGAAGCGGUGAAUCCA